rnacentral:rRNA from 1 species
AUUGAACGCUGGCGGCAUGCCUAACACAUGCAAGUAGGGCGACCGGCGGACGGGUGAGUAAUGUAUAGGGAUCUGCAUGCUAGAGGGGGAUAACUACUGGAAACGGUAGCUAAUACCGCAUCCCAUCAGAUGAUCCCAUAUGGGAUUAGCUGGUAGGUGUGGGAACGGCUCACCUGGGCGACGAUCCCUAGCUGGUCUGACAGGAUGAUCAGCCACACUGGGACUGAGACACGGCCCAGACUCCUACGGGAGGCAGCAGUGGGGAAUAUUGCACAAUGGGCGCAAGCCUGAUGCAGCCAUGCCGCGUGUAUGAAGAAGGCCUUCGGGUUGUAAAGUACUUUCAGUCGGGAGGCGUUACCGACAGAAGAAGCACCGGCUAACUCCGUGCCAGCCGCCGCGGUAAUUC